rnacentral:rRNA from 1 species
UACGUAGGGGGCAAGCGUUGUCCGGAUUUAUUGGGCGUAAAGCGCACGCAGGCGGUGCGGUAAGUUUCGAGUGACAGGUGGUGGCUUAACUGCCACAGGCCUUGGAAAACUGCCGCACUUGAGGGCUUGAGAGGGACGCGGAAUUCCAGGUGGAGCGGUGAAAUGCGUAGAUAUCUGGAAGAACACCAGUGGCGAAGGCGGUCAACUGGCCCGAAACUGACGCUGAGGCACGAAAGCGUGGGUAGCGAACAGG